rnacentral:rRNA from 1 species
UACAGAGGGUGCAAGCGUUGUUCGGAAUUAUUGGGCGUAAAGCGCGUGUAGGCGGCUUUGCAAGUCAGACGUGAAAUCCCUCGGCUUAACCGGGGAACUGCAUCUGAUACUGGAUGGCUUGAGUUCGGGAGAGGGAUGCGGAAUUCCAGGUGUAGCGGUGAAAUGCGUAGAUAUCUGGAGGAACACCGGUGGCGAAGGCGGCAUCCUGGACCGACACUGACGCUGAGGAGCGAAAGCCAGGGGAGCAAACGGG